rnacentral:lncRNA from 1 species
AUCAACGCAAAAGCAUAAAACUCGACUCCGGAGUGGCACUCAUGGACGCUACCCAACCGAGUAUGCAAGCGUGUCUCUGCCGAGCUCAAUCAGGCUCUCACAGGCUAUAAUCAAAGCAAAUGAGUCUAACUGGUCUAACAACCAAAACUCACGUGCUCUUGGCACAAUCUGAUGCAAAUACAGAAAUCUGGAUCCACCGUCAACCACGACGGCACCCGACAGUCCGAAACAGUCUAUACACUACUGUAAAAAUAAACUCGGCAUCCCAGCACGAGCGUAAACUCAUCCUACACUAAUCUGGGUAUUCACCGCAUACGAACAGCGACGAUACAAACAAACCACAGCUCCUAAAACUAAAUCUGAUAAUUUUCAGAAAGUGACAGUGUAGGGUUCAAUAGUUUUCUCUUAAGUCAAUUCCAAGUCCAAUAUGAAUUUACUACUAGCUUAACUCCAAAUUCAGAUUUUAUAGCCUAAUCUA